GUCUUAUUGAUAAUAAUUUUAAGUCUAAUCUGCCCAGUGAUUUAUUAAAUGGCUGCAGUAUUUUAACUGUACAAAGGUAGCAUAAUAAUUAGUUUCUUAAUUAGGAACUGGAAUGAAAGAUUGAACGAGACAAUAACUGUCUUAAUAUAAAUUUAAGAAUUUUAUUUUUAAGUUAAAAAGCUUAAAUUAUUUUAAAAGACGAGAAGACCCUAUAGAAUUUUAUAUUAUUUUUAUAUUUAAAUUAUAGAAUUAAAAUUUUAAAUUUUAUUAAAGGUAUUUAGUUGGGGUGAUUGAAAAAUUUAUUUAACUUUUUUUUGUAAUUUACAUUUAUUUAUGUUUUGUUGAUCCAAUAUUUUUGAUUAUAAGAUUAAAUUACCUUAGGGAUAACAGCGUAAUUUUUUUAGAGAGUUCUUAUCGAUAAAAAAGAUUGCGACCUCGAUGUUGGAUUAAAGUUAAUUUUUGAUGUAGAAGUUAAAAUAUUAGGUCUGUUCGACCUUUAAUACUUUACAUGAUCUGAGUUUAAAUCGGCGUGAGCCAGGUUGGAUUCUAUCUUUAAAUAGUUAUUAUAUUUUAGUACGAAAGGACCAGAUAUUAUUUAUAUUAAAUUUAAGGGAAUAUUA
rnacentral:rRNA from 1 species